AGAGUUAAACAGUACGUGAAAUUGUUGAAAGGGAAACGAUUGAAGCCAGUCGUACUGGCGGGAAAUCAACUUCUCGAGUGCUUGUCGUGGAUGACGUUGAGCCUCACGGCCUUCGUUGCUUUCGUUAUGGUGCUUUUGGGGUGUACUUUUCCGUAUGUAGGUCAACAUCGAUUUUGAUUGUCAUAAAAUGAUCGGAGGAAUGUAGCUUUGAUCUCGUAUUGAAGUGUUAUAGCCUUUGGUAGAUGUGAUGAUUGGGAUCGAGGAUUGCAACGAAUACCCUUUGGGCUAUCCGUCUGACCUCUGAAAGUCGCUCGAGUGUCGAAAGCUUGCUUAUGGCAUUUUAGUUGGCGGUCAAAAGGUUAGAACGUGAUUACAUUCGUUAAGGAUGUUGGCGUAAUGGCUUUAAACGACC
rnacentral:rRNA from 1 species